UACAGAGGUCCCAAGCGUUGUUCGGAUUCACUGGGCGUAAAGGGUGCGUAGGCGGUCGGGUAAGUCUGACGUGAAAUCUUCGAGCUCAACUCGGAAACUGCGUCGGAAACUAUUCGGCUAGAGGAAUGGAGGGGAGACUGGAAUACUUGGUGUAGCAGUGAAAUGCGUAGAUAUCGUAAGGAAGACCAGUGGCGAAGGCGGGUCUCUGGACAGUUCCUGACGCUGAGGCACGAAGGCCAGGGGAGCAAACGGG
rnacentral:rRNA from 1 species